AUGGUUUGGCUUCUCGACGAUGUCUACGACACGAAACACCGGGCCUACAUGAUGCGUGAGGAGAUGAAGCUUGAACCUUUGAAGAUUCGGUAUCACGGGGUCUCUGGUCCUGCCAUGCCUUAUGAUGAGCGGUACACACCGUACAUCAAGCAGGCAGGACUACUCUCGUGGAUUCAGUUGGUCAGCCGGUCCACGCCGAAUCUGAACGCUCCCCUGGUGUCCGCUCUUGCAGAUCGGUGGAGGCCGGAGAUGCAUAGUUUCCAUCUUCGGACUGGAGAGAUGAUUGUGACGCUCGAGGAUGUCUCGUUGAUCACCGGUCUUGCUAUCGACGGGAUGCCUCUCUGUAUGAGCACCGAUUCUGAUGGGUGA
rnacentral:rRNA from 1 species